CACCAGUUCAGAUGCCUGCUCUGAAACCGGCGUCUUGUUUUCGAUGUCCCACGCCCUCAGCCAACAAUUGUUGUCACAGCUGUUGAGGACACAGUGCUGUGUGAAGUCUCGGAACAUCAUGCCAGAGUAGGAUCUUGCUUCCCAGGAGACCCAGGGCGAGGAGUCUUUACUCUCCCAUUGCCCUGCACCAGAGAUUCACUGGUUCAUCUCCCAGUCCCUCCCUCCCACCUUUCGUUACCCCUACCACAUCUUUUCCUUUCUAGUUCAUUUGUACUCCUUUAAACCCACUGUGUGCGAACUGGGCUGUCAGCCUGUGUCUGGGUGUAGGGCCGUCCACCGGAGCAUGAGUACCUACUAGGGGUCCCUCAAAAAACAACUCUUCCCCCCCCCAGCACUCAUCAACUUGCACUAGCUCCUCUCCUAUGAUUGAUACCUGAUGGGUCCUUCCCCCUCUGUGCUGUGAUUUUUGAUUGGCUGGAUCUUGG
rnacentral:lncRNA from 1 species